UGAAGUCGUAAACCUCUGCACUGCCUUGCACCACGCUCUUCAUCAUGUCGUCCGUGACCACAAUCCUGCAAAAAGAGUAGGAUGGGUGGAACGAUCCAUGAGUUGUUUCCAGCAAACUGUGUGUGUGUGUGUGUGUUUACCUGUCAUAGGGACAGUUAGUGUGGG